ensembl:lncRNA
CACUCCAGCCUGAGCAACAGAGCUAGACUCCUUAAAAAAAUAAAAAAUAAAAAAUAAAAAAAAAAUUAUUCCAUCCCAACAGCCCCCUGAAAGUCUUAACUCAUUCUAGCAUCAAUUCUAAAGUUCAAAGUGUCAUCUAAAAAAUCAUCUAAAUCAGGUUAUGGGUGAGACUCAAUGUGCGAUUCAUCCAGAGACAAAAUUCCUUUCCAGCUUUGAACCUGUGAAACCAGAAAUGUUACAUGCUUCUGAGGUACAAUGGUGAAACAGGCAUGAUAGACAUUCCCAUUAGAAAAUGGAGAAAUAGGAAAGAAGGAAGGUGUAAUGUGUCCUAAUCAAGUCCAAAACCUGGCAAGGCAAAUUAUGUUCGGUCUUAAGAAAAACCCUCUUUGGCUUGAUGCCCUGACUUCCAGGCCCAGUGCUCUCACAGUGUCACCUCUGGCUCUGUGGGUGGCCUACUCCAUCUGCCCUACCUGAAGUCUCGCUCUUUCAGUUUGGUGGGGUCCCGCCCAGGCAGCCAUCUGUGAGGGACUCUCCUGCCCAGUUCUUCAAGGCAUCUUUGAAGAAGAUGGUAGUCAUCUUCUCUACCCUACCUUUGAGGUAGAGUCAGCCUUGACUACCUGUUCCCACCCCCACCUUAUCCCAUCUAUACUCUCUGAGUCUUAGAUCAAAGUGGCAGCCCUGGUGGCUCCUGCCUGUAAUCCCAGCACUUUGGGAGGCCAAUGAGAGUGGAUCACUUGAGGUCAGGAGUUCCAGACUAGCCUGACCAACAUGGUGAAACCCCAUCUCUACUAAAAAUACAAAAAUUAGCUGGGUGUGGUGGCAGGCACGCUACUCGGCAGGCUACAGAUUUAGUCUGUCAUCCCAGCUACUUGGGAGGCUGAGGCAGGAGAAUCCCUUGAACCUGGGAGGUGGAGAUUGCAGUGAGCUGAGAUCGCACCACUGCCCUACAGCCUGGGUGACAGAGUGAGAGUCUACUACUCAAAAAAAAAAAAAAAAAAGAAAGUGGCACCCCUAAUGAUCUCAUAAAUUGCCUUUGGUGGGUCAGUCUUUUCCUUUUCUUAAAGAAUAGUACACAUUGACAGCCAGAUAGCUCUAUGAUCCUGUUCUAUAGAAUUCAAAAAGUCGACAACCUUCCUUUGUUCCUUUCUGUUUUUGCUGCUUACUUUAGUUCAAAUUGGCAGUGUCUCCGCUGGAAUAAUCUAAUCUCUCUUCCUAGCUUCUGCUGAGAUGGCUGAUUAAAUCCUUGUGUCACAGCCAUUAUCUCUUUAUCAAGUGGUUGUUCAGGUCAGGCUCAAUGUUUCACGAAAGCCUGUAAUCCCAACACUUUAGGGAGACUGAGGAGGGCAGAUCACUUGAGCUCAGGAGUUAGAGACCAGCCUGGGCAACAUGUCAAAACCCCAUAUCUAUAAACAACAGCAACAAAAAAUUAGCCAGGGUGUGGUAGUGCAAUUAGCUGGGCAUGGUGAUGAGCUCCUGUAGUCCCAGCUACUUGGGAGGCUGAGGUGGGAGGAUUUCUUGAGCCUAAAGGCAAAGGUUGCACUGAACUGAGAUUGUGCCACUGUAUUCCAGCCUGGAUGACAUAGCCAGACCCUGUCUCAAAAAGAAAAAAAAGAAAAA